rnacentral:rRNA from 1 species
AAAUUGAAGAGUUUGAUCAUGGCUCAGAUUGAACGCUGGCGGCAGGCCUAACACAUGCAAGUCGAACGGUAACAGGAAACAGCUUGCUGUUUCGCUGACGAGUGGCGGACGGGUGAGUAAUGUCUGGGAAACUGCCUGAUGGAGGGGGAUAACUACUGGAAACGGUAGCUAAUACCGCAUAACGUCGCAAGACCAAAGAGGGGGACCUUCGGGCCUCUUGCCAUCGGAUGUGCCCAGAUGGGAUUAGCUUGUUGGUGGGGUAACGGCUCACCAAGGCGACGAUCCCUAGCUGGUCUGAGAGGAUGACCAGCCACACUGGAACUGAGACACGGUCCAGACUCCUACGGGAGGCAGCAGUGGGGAAUAUUGCACAAUGGGCGCAAGCCUGAUGCAGCCAUGCCGCGUGUAUGAAGAAGGCCUUCGGGUUGUAAAGUACUUUCAGCGGGGAGGAAGGGAGUAAAGUUAAUACCUUUGCUCAUUGACGUUACCCGCAGAAGAAGCACCGGCUAACUCCGUGCCAGCAGCCGCGGUAAUACGGAGGGUGCAAGCGUUAAUCGGAAUUACUGGGCGUAAAGCGCACGCAGGCGGUUUGUUAAGUCAGAUGUGAAAUCCCCGGGCUCAACCUGGGAACUGCAUCUGAUACUGGCAAGCUUGAGUCUCGUAGAGGGGGGUAGAAUUCCAGGUGUAGCGGUGAAAUGCGUAGAGAUCUGGAGGAAUACCGGUGGCGAAGGCGGCCCCCUGGACGAAGACUGACGCUCAGGUGCGAAAGCGUGGGGAGCAAACAGGAUUAGAUACCCUGGUAGUCCACGCCGUAAACGAUGUCGACUUGGAGGUUGUGCCCUUGAGGCGUGGCUUCCGGAGCUAACGCGUUAAGUCGACCGCCUGGGGAGUACGGCCGCAAGGUUAAAACUCAAAUGAAUUGACGGGGCCCGCACAAGCGGUGGAGCAUGUGGUUUAAUUCGAUGCAACGCGAAGAACCUUACCUGGUCUUGACAUCCACGGAAGUUUUCAGAGAUGAGAAUGUGCCUUCGGGAACCGUGAGACAGGUGCUGCAUGGCUGUCGUCAGCUCGUGUUGUGAAAUGUUGGGUUAAGUCCCGCAACGAGCGCAACCCUUAUCCUUUGUUGCCAGCGGUCCGGCCGGGAACUCAAAGGAGACUGCCAGUGAUAAACUGGAGGAAGGUGGGGAUGACGUCAAGUCAUCAUGGCCCUUACGACCAGGGCUACACACGUGCUACAAUGGCGCAUACAAAGAGAAGCGACCUCGCGAGAGCAAGCGGACCUCAUAAAGUGCGUCGUAGUCCGGAUUGGAGUCUGCAACUCGACUCCAUGAAGUCGGAAUCGCUAGUAAUCGUGGAUCAGAAUGCCACGGUGAAUACGUUCCCGGGCCUUGUACACACCGCCCGUCACACCAUGGGAGUGGGUUGCAAAAGAAGUAGGUAGCUUAACCUUCGGGAGGGCGCUUACCACUUUGUGAUUCAUGACUGGGGUGAAGUCGUAACAAGGUAACCGUAGGGGAACCUGCGGUUGGAUCACCUCCUUACCUUAAAGAAGC